rnacentral:siRNA from 1 species
CCAAUGCACUACCUCCGCCGCUGC